rnacentral:rRNA from 1 species
GACGAACGCUGGCGGCGUGCUUAACACAUGCAAGUCGAACGGAAAGGCCCUGCUUUUGUGGGGUGCUCGAUUGGCGAACGGGUGAGUAACACGUGAGUAACCUGCCCUUGACUUUGUGAUAACUUCAGGAAACUGGGGCUAAUACCGGAUAUGAUCUCCUGCUGCAUGGUGGGGGUUGGAAAGUUUCGGCGGUUGGGGAUGGACUCGCGGCUUAUCAGCUUGUUGGUGGGGUAGUGGCUUACCAAGGCUUUGACGGGUAGCCGGCCUGAGAGGGUGACCGGCCACAUUGGGACUGAGAUACGGACCAGAAUCGUACGGGAGGCAGCAGUGGGGAAUAUUGCACAAUGGGGGGAAGCCUGAUGCAGCAACGCCGCGUGCGGGAUGACGGCCUUCGGGUUGUAAACCGCUUUCGCCUGUGACGAAGCGUGAGUGACGGUAAUGGGUAAAGAAGCACCGGCUAACUACGUG